rnacentral:tRNA from 1 species
GACUCUGUGGUGCAAUGGUAGUGUGUCUGACUCCAGAUCAGAAGGUUGUGUGUUCAAAUCAAAUCAGGGUCA